UGGGGAAUUUUGGACAAUGGGCGCAAGCCUGAUCCAGCCAUGCCGCGUGCGGGAAGAAGGCCUUCGGGUUGUAAACCGCUUUUGUCAGGGAAGAAAAGUUUCGGUCUAAUACAUCGGGACGAUGACGGUACCUGAAGAAUAAGCACCGGCUAACUACGUGCCAGCAGCCGCGGUAAUACGUAGGGUGCAAGCGUUAAUCGGAAUUACUGGGCGUAAAGCGUGCGCAGGCGGUUGUGCAAGACAGGUGUGAAAUCCCCGGGCUUAACCUGGGAACUGCACUUGUGACUGCAUAGCUUGAGUGCGGCAGAGGGGGAUGGAAUUCCGCGUGUAGCAGUGAAAUGCGUAGAUAUGCGGAGGAACACCGAUGGCGAAGGCAAUCCCCUGGGCCUGCACUGACGCUCAUGCACGAAAGCGUGGGGAGCAAACAGG
rnacentral:rRNA from 1 species